CCAGCUGGGACCCCAAAACAUCCUCAGGGAUAUGGGGACAGAGCCCAGCUGGGACCCCAAAACAUCCACUGGGAUAUGGGGACAGAGCCCAGCUGGAGCCACACCUCGGAUCCCAUCCCAGCACCCGUGGGGACAUUGCAGCAGCACUCACCUGAACUAAAGUGGAUUUUCCUGUCAGUUUACUCCAGGAAUAUCUUCUCCUGGGAUCCCAUCUGUGCAGUCACACUGACCACAUCCACCCUGGAAGUCAGACAUCCUGGCACAGGUAUCCACACCCAGGUGUGUGAAUGGUCCCUUCUGACCUCACACACAUUUUGGCAGCCUCCAAGGAGUGGGAUACAAUUUCCAUUGCAACAGCACAGUCGUGAGGCUCAGCUCUUGAUCAGCUCCUGCAGGGCACAGCCUGACUUUGACCAGACACAACUGUGAACCGAGAUCUUUAAUUUCACAGGGAAAACAUCGUCACAGCCUGUGGGGAACGGGGAUGCUGCCCUGCCCAAGGAGCCUUUGCUGGUUUGCCAAGAGCACUCAGACGUGCAGGCAGGAAGGAUUCUCGCCAGCACAUUUAUUUCCUGGAAGAUCCAUACAAGCUUCUUUUGAGUCUGGAUUUGGAGGUCGGACCUUGAGAGCUCUGCACGUUUCCAGCCCCACCUCCCGUGUGCACCGUGUCAGUGGUGGCCUCACACCUCUCCUGCCCUGGGCCAGAUGCACACAGCUGGCUCAGGACACACUGAGCAGCUGCAGCUCCUGUGCAGCAGGAGAGGCACAGCCAAGGUAUGUGCCCCCAGCUGGCUCUGCUGAGAGGAGCAGUGGCUUCAUCACUCCUUUUUGGUCCCAGCACCUGAUAUAAAACCAGUCUAAGACCAGGCAGAAUGGUGUCCCAAGCAAUAUGAGAUAAGAAGCUGGAGAUCUCUGUGGCCACUGAUGACCUCAGAACCCCACUGCCCUGUGCCUUGCCUGGCACUGCCCACCCUGUGGAGUGGGUGCUGUGUGUCCUGCCCAGCCCAGAAAGGUUACACCUUCUCUGCACUGGUGUGAAGUGCUGGGGAUGGAGAGUCAGGCCCAGAAGGAGGCUGGCCUGGUGCUGGCUCCCAUCCAUUUAGCCCCAGUUGUCCCACCAUAACUUCAGACUGGCAAAGUCUGGCAUUAAUGAGGGGAGAUGAUGCCAUAGCAGCAGCAAGACCAUUGAUGUGGUGUUAGACCACCUUGGAGGGUGGAUGUGGCUGUGGAUCCUCCAAGGUGGGAGUGUGGCAUAGGAUGUUAUUUAACAAGGAGGGGUUGGUUGGGCAGAGUUAACUCAGCUUUCUCUAGAAAACACUCACAGUUUUGUUCCUUGCCGUGCUGCUUGGUUUUGUUUCUUGUCUGAAAAAUCCAAAAUAACUCCACUGAUUGGUCUUGGGUUCACAGCAGUGUUUCUGAGAUUAGAGCCUGCUCUUUAGAGCCUCCUGCUCAAGGUCAGAUGAAAUGGUCAGUCACCCCUUGCAGCAGACUCCAAGAACAAUAAGAUGUUUUAGGAAUGUGCCAUAACUGAUUGCCUCUAAAGGGCAAAUUUUGCUCUGUGCUGCCAAGCAAGGGCUGUUCUCGGUGAUAAGUUUGCUGAACAAAGUCUGCUGAGGUUUGUGGAGCUGGUUUCAUUCUCCUGGGAGGGCAGCAGGCCAGGACAUUGCGCACGCUGAUCCCAAUCGCCCCAAGGAUCAAGUCUGCAGGAAAUCCAAGUGGCCUUACUAAAGUUCUGUGCCCACCUUCUGCCACUCAGAGCUGGGUUCCCACUGCCACUUUCCAACAACAUUGUUAUCCCAAAGCACUGUUCUCCAGGAGGAAAAGGCUGAAAUGCUGUCAAAAUAGAGGAUAUAAAUAAAGGAACAUUGAUCAGUUGCUUUGUAUUUUUGUUCUUCACAUUCUAUUUU